GACAGAGGUGGCAAGCGUUGUUCGGAUUUACUGGGCGUAAAGAGCGCGUAGGCGGUUGCAUAUGUCAGAUGUGAAAUCCCAGGGCUUAACCCUGGAAUGGCAUUUGAAACUGUGCGACUUGAGGACAGGAGAGGGAAGUGGAAUUCCCGGUGUAGUGGUGAAAUGCGUAGAUAUCGGGAGGAACACCAGUGGCGAAGGCGACUUCCUGGCCUGUUCUUGACGCUGAGGCGCGAAAGCUAGGGGAGCAAACGGGG
rnacentral:rRNA from 1 species